UGGGGAAUAUUGCACAAUGGGGGAAACCCUGAUGCAGCGACGCAGCGUGCGGGAUGACGGCCUUCGGGUUGUAAACCGCUUUCAGCAGGGAAGAAGCCUCACGGUGACGGUACCUGCAGAAGAAGUACCGGCUAACUACGUGCCAGCAGCCGCGGUAAUACGUAGGGUACGAGCGUUGUCCGGAAUUAUUGGGCGUAAAGAGCUCGUAGGUGGUUGGUCACGUCUGCUGUGGAAACGCAACGCUUAACGUUGCGCGUGCAGUGGGUACGGGCUGACUAGAGUGCAGUAGGGGAGUCUGGAAUUCCUGGUGUAGCGGUGAAAUGCGCAGACAUCAGGAGGAACACCGGUGGCGAAGGCGGGACUCUGGGCUGUAACUGACACUGAGGAGCGAAAGCAUGGGGAGCGAACA
rnacentral:rRNA from 1 species